rnacentral:rRNA from 1 species
UACAGAGGUCUCAAGCGUUGUUCGGAUUCAUUGGGCGUAAAGGGUGCGUAGGUGGCGCUGUAAGUCAGGUGUGAAAUUUCGGAGCUUAACUCCGAGCUUGCAGUCGAUACGGGCAGGCUAGAGUUCGGCAGGGGAGACUGGAAUUCCUGGUGUAGCGGUGAAAUGCGCAGAUAUCAGGAGGAACACCGGUGGCGAAGGCGGUUCUCUGGGCAUUACCUGACGCUGAGGAGCGAAAGUGUGGGGAGCGAACAGG